rnacentral:rRNA from 1 species
UCAGGACGAACGCUGGCGGCGUGCCUAACACAUGCAAGUCGAGCGAUGAAAUCCUUCGGGAUGGAUUAGCGGCGGACGGGUGAGUAACACGUGGGUAACCUGCCUUGUAGAGGGGGAUAGCCUUCCGAAAGGAAGAUUAAUACCGCAUAACAUCUUUUUAUCGCAUGGUAGAAAGAUCAAAGGAGUAAUCCGCUACAAGAUGGACCCGCGGCGCAUUAGCUGGUUGGUGAGGUAACGGCUCACCAAGGCGACGAUGCGUAGCCGACCUGAGAGGGUGAUCGGCCACAUUGGAACUGAGACACGGUCCAGACUCCUACGGGAGGCAGCAGUGGGGAAUAUUGCGCAAUGGGGGAAACCCUGACGCAGCAACGCCGCGUGAAUGAAGAAGGCCUUAGGGUUGUAAAGUUCUGUUUACGGGGACGAUAAUGACGGUACCCGUGGAGGAAGCCACGGCUAACUACGUGCCAGCAGCUGC